rnacentral:rRNA from 1 species
ACGGGAGGCAGCAGUGAGGAAUAUUGGUCAAUGGGCGGAAGCCUGAACCAGCCAAGUCGCGUGAAGGAUGAAGGUAUUAUGUAUUGUAAACUUCUUUAGCAGUGGAGUAAUAAGGGGGUCGAGACCCCUGAUGCAAGUACACUGAGAAUAAGGAUCGGCUAACUCCGUGCCAGCAGCCGCGGUAAUACGGAGGAUCCGAGUGUUAUCCGGAUUUAUUGGGUUUAAAGGGUGCGCAGGCGGUGGAUCAAGUCAGUGGUGAAAUGGUGCGGCUCAACCGUAGCAUUGCCGUUGAAACUGGUUCACUUGAGUGCGGACGAGGCAGGCGGAAUGUGUUGUGUAGCGGUGAAAUGCAUAGAUAUGACACAGAACACCGAUUGCGAAGGCAGCCUGCCAGGCCGCAACUGACGCUGAGGCACGAAAGUGCGGGGAUCGAACAGGAUUAGAUACCCUGGUA